rfam:Schistosoma mansoni strain Puerto Rico chromosome 5, complete genome
AUCCAGCUGACGAGUCCCAAAUAAGACGAAACGCACGCUCUGGAU